UCCAAUCACGUAGGACUACCCGCUGAACUUUCCAUAUCUCAACU
rnacentral:rRNA from 1 species